rnacentral:rRNA from 1 species
CCUACGGGCGGCUGCAGUGAGGAAUAUUGGUCAAUGGGCUUGCGCCUGAACCAGCCAAGUCGCGUGAGGGAAGACUGCCCUAUGGGUUGUAAACCUCUUUUGUCAGGGAGCAAUGGGCGCUACGUGUAGCGUCAUCGAGAGUACCCGAAGAAAAAGCAUCGGCUAACUCCGUGCCAGCAGCCGCGGUAAUACGGAGGAUGCGAGCGUUAUCCGGAUUUAUGGGGUUUAAAGGGUGCGUAGGCGGAAUGUUAAGUCAGCGGUCAAAUCGCGGGGCUCAACCUCUCCCCGCCGUUGAAACUGGCGUUCUUGAGUGGAAGAGAAGUAUGCGGAAUGCGUGGUGUAGCGGUGAAAUGCAUAGAUAUCACGCAGAACCCCGAUUGCGAAGGCAGCAUGCCGGCGCCCGACUGACGCUGAAGCACGAAAGCGUGGGGAUCGAACAGGAUUAGAUACCCGUGUAGUC